UCCUACGGGAGGCAGCAGUGGGGAAUAUUGCACAAUGGGCGCAAGCCUGAUGCAGCAACGCCGCGUGAGGGACGACGGCCUUCGGGUUGUAAACCUCUUUUAGCAGGGAAGAAGCGAAAGUGACGGUACCUGCAGAAAAAGCGCCGGCUAACUACGUGCCAGCAGCCGCGGUAAUA
rnacentral:rRNA from 1 species